GAUUAACGCUGGCGGCAUGCCUAAUGCAUGCAAGUAGAACGAGUCUCGCAAGAGACUAGUUGCGAACGACUGAGUAAUGGAUAGGAAUUUCCCCAAUGGUGUGGAAUACCUCAUCGAAAGAUGAGCUAAUACCGCAUAACAUCGAAAGAUAAAAGCGCUUAACUGUGCGCCGAUGGAUGAGCCUAUCUCCCAUCAGCUUGUUGGUAGGGUAAAAGCCUACCAAGGCUAUGACGGGUAGGGGGCGUGAGAGCGCGUUCCCCCAGAAUGGGACUGAGACACGGCCCAUACACCUACGGGUGGCAGCAACAGGGAAUCGUACACAAUGGACGAAAGUCUGAUGUCGCAAUGCCGCGUGGAGGAUGAAGGCCUUCGGGUCGUAAACUCCUUUUACAGUAAUAGAGAUGUUAUUGAGAAUAGGCACCUGCUAACUCUGUGCCAGCAGCAGCGGUAAUACAGAGGGUGCAAGCGUUAUCCGGAUUUAUUGGGCCGUAAAGCGUUUCGUAGGUUUUUAGAUAAG
rnacentral:rRNA from 1 species